CUCAUAUUUAAGCAAGGAAGCAGGAAGUGGUUCCUUUCCCUUUUGCUCUUCUUCCUGCUCUCUGCUGUGAGCCAUCAUGUGAUCCUGGGGAUGAAGAAGCCAGCGGAAGGUGUCUGAUAAGUUAUAGUUGGUGCAAAAUGGAAGCCAGAGCCAGAGAGGAAUGGAAAAAGGAAAGGAACAAGCCAGCUGAAGGUGCACGCACCUGCAAUCCCCUGCAGUGCCUGCUCUGAACCAAAAUGCUAAUAUAACUCUCCUAAGUAGGUAAACCUGUGGGACAAUUUCCUGAAUAGUGAUUGAUAUGGAGUUCCAAGCCACUAUGUGUGGAUGCCACCCUUGGGCGAGAGAUUCUGGGGUGUACAGGAAAGAAAAUGGAACAAACCAGAAGGAGCAAGUCAGUAAGCAGCACUCCUCCAUGGUCUCAGCUUCAGUUCCUUUCUUCAGCUUCCUGCCCUGCUUGAGUUCCUGUCUUGACUCAUCUCAUUAAGGUCUGGAAGGAAAAAUAAACUCGUUUCUUCAAAAGUUCCUUUUGUCGUGAUGCUCUAUCACAGUAAGAAAAAAUAAAUUAAGAUACUGACAAUAGGCAUACUAUUCUUGGAAAUCAGAUAUUUGACUAAGAUAAUAAAUUGGGGACUGGAGAGACGCUUGGCAGUUAAGAUUUCAUACUGUUCUCUCAGAAAAACACAUGGAUUGAUUACUAGUACCCACAGUGGCCAGAUCAAUCCAUCUCCAAGGGAUGAAAUGUCUCCAGCUUUGAAGGCAUGGAUGUUCAUGUGUGCAUACCCCCACACAGAC
rnacentral:lncRNA from 1 species